rnacentral:rRNA from 1 species
AUUGAACGCUGGCGGAAUGCUUUACACAUGCAAGUCGAACGGUAGAGGGGGCAACCCCUCGAGAGUGGCGAACGGGUGAGUAAUAUAUCGGAACGUGCCCAGUCGUGGGGGAUAACGUAGCGAAAGUUACGCUAAUACCGCAUACGGUCUAAGGAUGAAAGCGGGGGAUCGCAAGACCUCGCGCGAUUGGAGCGGCCGAUAUCAGAUUAGGUAGUUGGUGGGGUAAAGGCUCACCAAGCCAACGAUCUGUAGCUGGUCUGAGAGGACGACCAGCCACACUGGAACUGGGACACGGUCCGGACUCCUACGGGAGGCAGCAGUGGGGAAUUUUGGACAAUGGACGCAAGUCUGAUCCAGCCAUUCCGCGUGCAGGAUGAAGGCCCUCGGGUUGUAAACUGCUUUUGUACGGAACGAAAAGGUCUCUCUUAAUACGGGGGACUCAUGACGGUACCGUAAGAAUAAGCACCGGCUAACUACGUGCCAGCAGCCGCCGUAAAAC